AACGUAGGUACCGAGCGUUAUCCGGAUUUACUGGGCGUAAAGCGCGUUCAGGCGGUCUGGCAAGUCGGGCAUGAAAUCUCUCGGCUCAACCGGGAGGGGUUGUCCGAUACUGCUGGGCUUGAGGGCAGUAGAGGGUGGUGGAAUUCCGGGUGUAGUGGUGAAAUGCGUAGAGAUCCGGAGGAACACCAGUGGCGAAGGCGGCCACCUGGACUGUACCUGACGCUCAAACGCGAAAGCUAGGGGAGCGAAC
rnacentral:rRNA from 1 species